rnacentral:rRNA from 1 species
UACGUAGGGGGCAAGCGUUGUCCGGAAUUAUUGGGCGUAAAGGGCGCGUAGGCGGCACCCUAAGUCAGAUGUGAAAACCCGGGGCUUAACUCCGGACGUGCAUUUGAAACUGGGGAGCUUGAGUGCAGGAGAGGUAAGUGGAAUUCCUAGUGUAGCGGUGAAAUGCGUAGAUAUUAGGAGGAACACCAGUGGCGAAGGCGACUUACUGGACUGUAACUGACGCUGAGGCGCGAAAGCGUGGGGAGCAAACAGG